UCAAGAACCGCAGCUUAGUUUCCAGUUCCACCCGCUUCAUUAUCAAGGAUUCAUUCACAGUAUCUAACCUGCAAACAGAUCUGGUUUCUGGACCGCUCACCACCCUGUGAUCAUGCUCCAGUCAACAUCCCUCUUAAAAUUUGGUGCCCAAAUAGACAUGGUACUACAGAUGCAGCAUGACCAGCGCAAAAUAAGGUUUGGAGGGCUGCAUCGAAGGAAAGUCGCACGAUGUCCACCUGUGGAUUAAACUCUGGCAUUUGGAAGGCCUCUAGUGGUGAACUGCGCCUCACAUUGAGCCCAUUUACUUAACCAGACAGGUAU